rnacentral:rRNA from 1 species
AGUGAACGCUGGCGGUAGGCCUAACACAUGCAAGUCGAACGGCAGCACAGUAAGAGCUUGCUCUUACGGGUGGCGAGUGGCGGACGGGUGAGGAAUACAUCGGAAUCUACUUUUUCGUGGGGGAUGACGUAGGGAAACUUACGCUAAUACCGCAUACGACCUACGGGUGAAAGCAGGGGAUCUUCGGACCUUGCGCGAUUGAAUGAGCCGAUGUCGGAUUAGCUAGUUGGCGGGGUAAAGGCCCACCAAGGCGACGAUCCGUAGCUGGUCUGAGAGGAUGAUCAGCCACACUGGAACUGAGACACGGUUCAGACUCCUACGGGAGGCAGCAGUGGGGAAUAUUGGACAAUGGGCGCAAGCCUGAUCCAGCCAUACCGCGUGGGUGAAGAAGGCCUUCGGGUUGUAAAGCCCUUUUGUUGGGAAAGAAAAGCAGCAGGUUAAUACCCCGCUGUUCUGACGGUACCCAAAGAAUAAGCACCGGCUAACUUCGUG